UUGGAAGUAAAAAUCGUAACAAGGUCUCCGUAGGUGAACCUGCGGAGGGAUCAUUACACAAAUAUGAAGGCGGGCUGGAACCUCUCGGGGUUACAGCCUUGCUGAAUUAUUCACCCUUGUCUUUUGCGUACUUCUUGUUUCCUUGGUGGGUUCGCCCACCACUAGGACAAACAUAAACCUUUUGUAAUUGCAAUCAGCGUCAGUAACAAAUUAAUAAUUACAACUUUCAACAACGGAUCUCUUGGUUCUGGCAUCGAUGAAGAACGCAGCGAAAUGCGAUAAGUAGUGUGAAUUGCAGAAUUCAGUGAAUCAUCGAAUCUUUGAACGCACAUUGCGCCCUUUGGUAUUCCAAAGGGCAUGCCUGUUCGAGCGUCAUUUGUACCCUCAAGCUUUGCUUGGUGUUGGGCGUCUUGUCUCUAGCUUUGCUGGAGACUCGCCUUAAAGUAAUUGGCAGCCGGCCUACUGGUUUCGGAGCGCAGCACAAGUCGCACUCUCUAUCAGCAAAGGUCUAGCAUCCAUUAAGCCUUUUUUUCAACUUUGACCUCGAUCAGUAGG
rnacentral:rRNA from 1 species